CAAGUACUCCCUCCGUCCGGAAUUACUUGUCAUCAAAAUGGAUGUGUCUAGAACUAAAAUACAUCUAGAUACAUCCAUUUCAAUGACAAGUAUUUCUGGACAGAGGGAGUACAAG
rnacentral:pre_miRNA from 1 species